ensembl:lncRNA
AGGGAGAGUUGGUAGGUGGUGGGGGCUCUGCUUCUUGUGGAAGGGUUCUGGAUUUGUGAAUUGUUUCUUUCUCAAAGAACACGGCUUCCACAGUCUGUUUGCAGAGGACAGCAGCUGUUAGCUCAAAGGUCACCCUAGCAAGCUGCAGGCCAUGCCAGCAGACACCUUUCCUGACUCUAAGUGCCCCAUUUGCUUGGACAGAUUUGACAGUGCUGUAUAUCUGAUUCUUGCUGGCACAGGUUCUGCUUCAAAUGUAUCCAAGAAUGGUCCAAAUUCAAAGCAGAAUGCCCACUCUGUGAACAGUCCUUCUUUUCUCUUUGUUAUACAGUUCAUGCUGAAGAUGACAUAUCUAGGCCUUCAGAAAAUGAGUCUUUUUCCAACUCUGAUCACAGCAGCAUCAGUUUUGCUGAAAGCCCUUUUGACUUAGAGGCAUGAGAUCAGCAUGCAUGAUAAAGGAAGCAGUUCAGACUCAACAAUUCUUGCAGUCUUUCCAGAUGAGACAAAUUCUCAAGAACUAGAGCAUGGUUCAUCUGAGCAUAGGGUUGAUCAGUUCCCCUGGAAUGAUGAAACUCCAGGUUCUUUGUAUUCCCCUUCAGAAGAGCAUGGUGCAACCAUAAUUUAUUCUUCAGAGUUAGAGAGCUCUUAUGAGGACACUGCUUGGGAGAGACUCAAACUGCAGUUUCAGUUACAGUCCAGUGUUGACUCCAGUGACAGCAACUCUUCAUCAGAGUAUCAUGAUAUUGCUGGCUACGUUAACCUCUAUGCUGAGAAGACACCAGAACUCAGUGAGCUGUCCUCAGUCUCUGAGGACUCUGUCAGGCAGAAGAAGAGGGAAAGUGUGAAGAAAGAGCAGUCAAUCCAGGAUAGCAGAUAGAGUGACAGAGAACCGAGUAGAGUUUCAUCACCCCACUCCUCCCUGUACAAGGACCAUGUGAGUAGUUGUCAAAGCACCUUACUCUCUGUAGUGAAGAGGAAGUGUCAAUGGAUGAACAGAAGAACAAAGAUAAAAUAAAAGAUCAUUCUCCACAGGACUCAGACUCGAGCCUGUCUCCAGGGAUGGACAGUGUGUGCUCUCCUUGUAGCCAGAGACUGUUCAGAAAAAGAAAGACCAGAGUCCAUAGAACAGUGAGGGCAGUCAUGGCCAUUGGCCUUGGAGGAAGCAUCACAGUGAACACCAGUUUAAAAAGAGACUAUCAAAAAGCAGGAAUGGUAGCAAACGUCAGAGCAAAAGAAGCAGGAGGUCAAGGCCCUGUGACAUGAGCCCCUCUCUAAAAAGCCGGACAGUCCAGUAGUUGUGAGGGCACAACCACCAGAGAUUCAAGCACAUCACAGUCACAUCACAAAGGCCAUGGCCAAGUGAGGUCAAACAGCCUAGACAGUGAUUGUUGUUACAGAAUAGCCUGUUAGGAAACAGUUACCUCUUACGUGGUCCAAAGGCAGUUGGAGAUGGCUCCUCCUGCAGUAAGAGCACUCAGUCUGAAGCUCACUUUCAAGCAAGUUUCCUGGUCCAGAAUUCAGGAUCCAGUCUUUCACUGAAACAACAGAUCUGCAAAGCCAGAUGGGAUUCUAUGAGAGACAGGACUCCUGUUACAAACAGUGCAGAUCAAGCUGUAGAUCAAGGAGCCCUGCUGGAGAGGCAGACAGAACAAGAAGCGAAAAGCCUGGUGGAAAGAGGAAGUGCAAAACUCGACACUUGGAGAAUGCAGAGAGGGGGAGAACCAGUGUGGAGAGAAAAUACAGCUUUGAGAGAGUUAUCCCAAUAUUCUAGUGACUGCUACAAAAAUUAAGGCAGCCUUUCAGACAACCAAGAAAGUAGUGAGACAAAACAUG